GAGUUUGAUCCUGGCUCAGGACGAACGCUGGCGGCGUGCUUAAUACAUGCAAGUCGAACGGAGUUAAGGGUUUCGGCCCUUAACUUAGUGGCGAACGGGUGAGUAACGCGUGAAUAACCUGACUCAAAGAGGGGGAUAACAACGGGAAACUGUUGCUAAUACCGCAUGAGACCACAACACCGCAUGACGAAGGGGUCAAAGAUUUAUCGCUUUGAGAGGGGUUCGCGUCCCAUUAGGUAGUUGGAGGGGUAACGGCCCACCAAGCCAACGAUGGGUGGCCGAGCUGAGAGGCUGAUCGGCCACACUGGAACUGAGACACGGUCCAGACUCCUACGGGAGGCAGCAGUGGGGAAUAUUGCACAAUGGGGGAAACCCUGAUGCAGCGACGCCGCGUGAAGGAAGAAGUAUCUCGGUAUGUAAACUUCUAUCAGCAGGGAAGAUAGUGACGGUACCCGACUAAGAAGCCCCGGCUAACUACGUGCCAGCCGCCGCGGUAAUUC
rnacentral:rRNA from 1 species